UUUCCAGACUCCUACGGGAGGCAGCAGUGGGGGAUAUUGCACAAUGGGGGGAACCCUGAUGCAGCGACGCCGCGUGGGUGAAGAAGCGCCUCGGCGCGUAAAGCCCUGUCAGCAGGGAAGAAAAUGACGGUACCUGAAGAAGAAGCCCCGGCUAACUACGUGCCAGCAGCCGCGGUAAUACGUAGGGGGCAAGCGUUAUCCGGAUUUACUGGGUGUAAAGGGAGCGUAGACGGCAGCGCAAGUCUGGAGUGAAAUGCCGGGGCUCAACCCCGGAACUGCUUUGGAAACUGUGCAGCUAGAGUGCGGGAGAGGUAAGCGGAAUUCCUAGUGUAGCGGUGAAAUGCGUAGAUAUUAGGAGGAACACCAGUGGCGAAGGCGGCUUGCUGGACCGUAACUGACGUUGAGGCUCGAAAGCGUGGGGAGCAAACAGGAUUAGAUACCCGCGUA
rnacentral:rRNA from 1 species